AGUCUUAGAGCCUAACAAAUAGAAACACCAUUUCCCAAACAUGUCUUCACGUUUAUCAUUUCUCAACUGAUAGAGUUUGGCUCUGUGUCCACACCCAGAUUUUAUCUUGAAUUGUAAUCCUCCUGUGUAAAGGGAGGGACCUAGUGGAAGGUGAUUGGAUUACGAGGACAGUUUCCCUCAUGCUGUUCUUGUGAUAGUGAUUGAAUUCUCACGAGAUCUGAUGGUUUUAUAAAUGGUAGUUUUUCCUGAGCUCUCUUGUGGGUCCCCACGUAAGACGUGCCUGCUUCCUCUUCUGCCAAGAUCGUAAGUUUCCUGAGACCUCCCCAGCCAUGUGAAACGGGACACUUUUGCCUAUCAGUAUUAAUUAAAUGUGAAUGUUAACAUGUAGGAAGAUUUAUAACUUCCUUGGCCUGACAGCUGUGCUGAAACUGAAAUGCAUCAAAGAGGAUGAAUGGCCCCGUCUGCCACCCAUGAAUGAUGAUCACUUCUCCAAAUUGGCCAGAGAGUUUGAAAAAGUAUUUUGGGGAACUUGCCAGCUAAGACUUUUCCAUUCCACCUCCUCACCUCUUUCUAACCACUGCCACCAUCAUAAAAGAAGCACGUCUAUAUGAAGCACUGUGGAAAAUUGGGGCCCAGGUGUGAAAAGUGAAAAAAGUGGAGUGAAGACCUGGUAAUCAAAUGCCAAAUUGCAAAGUUGCAAAGAACAAAUAUUUUGGCCUAGAAUCAUCCCUAUUUGUAUCACAGCCAGUUUAAGCAAAUAGAAUAAUAUGUGUUCAUAUAAUCUAUCGGUACAGAUUUAAAAUGGGUCAGAAACAAAAUUUUUGUCCUAUUUUAGACUGUGGAUCCAGAUGACAAAAACAAUGGAUGUCAAAACACCUCGGAAGUUUCAGAACAGAAAAUAGAGAAAACAAAUUUGACACUGGAGUCAUCUCUGAUCAUGACAUUUCAUACAGUUCUCAAAACCAACUUAUCAAGAAUUUAAAAACGUAUCUAUGUUAUGGUUUAUAGGAAUUGCAUGAAGCUUUAUUCCACUUUUACUAUGCAUGCCAUCUAUUUAUAUAUUCAAAGAGUUUACAUUAACAUGACUUUACUAUGAUGUCUUUGUAGCUUUAUUAGUAUAACUUGAUUGGCAUAACUUGACUCUUCCAGGGUACUCUUGCCCUCGGAAAUGACUUGAUUGUUCGUUACUGGAAGUUCCCAAAAGAUCUGUCAGCUUUUCACUGGGAAGCAUCAACUGUUGGUUUACAAUUCUGUCAGACUCUUGAACCCCUUGCCUCAAAUUCUUUGCCAUGCUACUUCCACUAACUCUAAAUUGGUAAACAUGAUCCUGACCCAAUCUUAGUCAAACUCUUGCUUUGAAAGCCCCACCUUAAACCAAACUUCCGAUUCUCAAUAAAAUCUGACCUUGCCUUUCUCCCUGAAACCCUGUAGAAACUCUGCCAAGGGAGCAUUCUCCCAGAGCGUGGUAAGCAGUAAACUCAGCUUUGUCUUACCAACAAGCUGUGUUGAUGAGAGCUGAGAAACAUUCAACAGAAGAGCAUGCAAUAUUGCUAUAUAUUCAUUAAAAGCAUUUAGAGCAUACAGAAAAAAGAAUGACAUAAAUGACAAAUUAUUUUUCACUUUAGUAAAGAUUUACGUGGGAAAGAGGCUGAUGGAGAGAUUUUCAAUUGUAAUAAAUAGUAAAUGUGUGGGUCUUGUGCUGCAUAUAUGCAUGCCCUGUAUAAAGCAGCAAACCUCCUGCCCAGCACCCCUAUUCCUCAUAUCUUGUUGCCCUUUUUGGUGGGUGGAGGAACGAUGGUGGGAGCUUCAACACUUACCACCAUCUGACACACAAACAUACACAUUUGCUUAUUUGUUUACUGUCUGUCUCUACAUUCAGUCCUAAUAUAAUUGCCCAGUGAGUUCUUCCUGACUGAUGUACAGGAAAAACCACUUCACUUAACCUGUGGUAUUGCAGUAGAGAAAGAGUUUAAUUAACCCAAGGUCUCCAAGUGGAAGGACUGGAGUUAUUACUCAAAUCAGUCUCCCUGAGAACUAAGGGGCUAGGGAUUUUAUGGAUAAU
rnacentral:lncRNA from 10 species